AACGCUGCAGCCUGAGUCUGAGCCUACAGCGAUUGUCUUCCAGAGUGGCAGCUGAAAUUCCAGGGAGUAACAUCCAGAAGAAAUGACUGCCUGUAACAAUGACCCAGUUG